GUUGCCCUUAAUCUACUCAUUAAUAUAAUUUGAAUUUUAGCUAUUAAUCUAAAUAAUCAUGUAUGGGAUUUCACAAAUUAUCUUUAUUUUAAAUGAGCGUUUGUUUUGAACCAGAGGAUGUGGUCAUGUCUGGUGUUUAUUAUUAUAAUAUGUUAACCAUCAUUGAUGGUGGCUAGAGGUUGAUGGCUGACAUCGGCAGAGCACUAUUAGAAUAAUAAGUUAUAUUUUAUAUUUUUGUAAUAGAUGACUGCAUCUAUUUUGAUUUGCCUCCUCAUAACAUGCACAAGCCAUCUUAAUUUACUUUUCUAAUUCUAUGUUUCACAUCCU